UAGGGAAUCUUCCACAAUGGGCGAAAGCCUGAUGGAGCAACGCCGCGUGUGUGAUGAAGGGUUUCGGCUCGUAAAACACUGUUGUAAGAGAAGAAUGACAUUGAGAGUAACUGUUCAAUGUGUGACGGUAUCUUACCAGAAAGGAACGGCUAAAUACGNGCCNG
rnacentral:rRNA from 1 species